CAUAAUGACGUCACUAUUCUAUAUAGCUCUAACCAUAAUGACGUCACUAUUCUAUAUAGCUGUGACCAUAAUGACGUCACUAUUCUAUAUAGCUACGGCCAUAAUGACGUCACUAUUCCAUAUAGCUCUAACCAUAAUGACGUCACUAUUCUAUAUAGCUCUAACCAUAAUGACGUCACUAUUCUAUAUAGCUAUAACCAUAAUGAUGUCACUAUUCUAUAUAGCUCUAACCAUAAUGACGUCACUAUUCCAUAUAGCUCUAACCAUAAUGACGUCACUAUUCUAUAUAGCUAUGACCAUAAUGACGUCACUAUUCUAUAUAGCUACGGCCAUAAUGACGUCACUAUUCCAUAUAGCUCUAACCAUAAUGACGUCACUAUUCUAUAUAGCUACGGCCAUAAUGACGUCACUAUUCUAUAUAGCUCUAACCAUAAUGACGUCACUAUUCUAUAUAGCUAUGACCAUAAUGAUGUCACUAUUCUAUAUAGCUCUAACCAUAAUGACGUCACUAUUCUAUAUAGCUCUAACCAUAAUGACGUCACUAUUCUAUAUAGCUAUAACCAUAAUGACGUCACUAUUCCAUAUAGCUCUAACCAUAAUGACGUCACUAUUCUAUAUAGCUAUGACCAUAAUGACGUCACUAUUCUAUAUAGCUCUAACCAUAAUGACGUCACUAUUCUAUAUAGCUCUAACCAUAAUGACGUCACUAUUCUAUAUAGCUACGGCCAUAAUGACGUCACUAUUCUAUAUAGCUAUGACCAUAAUUACAUCAGUCCUUUUAAAUAUGACUGGCUAUAUAUGGACACUACCCCCAAUCUCCCUAUACAGCCCAUUGUAGAGUCCUCAUGAUACAGAAUAGCAAACAACCAGCUGUUCUUUUUAACACAUUAGGCUUCCAUACCUUAAUAUGUAUAUACAUUGGAACAUAGACUAAGUAAUAUUCUACACAAACACAAUGCACCUCAUUGUGACUUGUAUUGCAGUGGAG